rnacentral:lncRNA from 1 species
GCUGUUAGGAUUCGCGGUUGAGCAAUGUUGAUAAGUCAUUGGAUCGAUGAAUUGAAUCCACGAGCAAUAAUGUUAAACGGUGAAGUGCGAAUCCACGAGCUUCGGUUGUGAAAUGCGAUGUUGAGUUGCACAUUUAUAACAUGAAUCGAAAUGCGUUUUGGAGGAUUCAUAACCGCUCUAAAAGUGUGAAACGAACACGAUGAUGAAUGGAGGACGAACGCGAAGAAGACGAAGACGGCGCUUUGAGGCGCAUUGAUGCUCUGCGAUGCGUGAAGGAUUUGAAUCUCCGGUGAAGAACGCUACACUGAAGGUCGAAGUGCGAUGUGAACAUUCUUUGUGUUAGAUUUCACAAUGAAUUGGAACGAGAAUGGCGCCUCUGCCGUUUGUAACCAAAGCGCGUUGAGCCUACUUUUCCAGAU